rnacentral:tRNA from 1 species
AAGGGUGUGGCUGAGUGGAGAAGGCUAUUGCUGAAUAAGCGGUAUACUUGUAAAAGAGUUCGAGGGUUCGAAUCUCUCCACUUUUA